rnacentral:rRNA from 1 species
AACGAACGCUGGCGGCAGGCUUAACACAUGCAAGUCGAGCGCGUAGCAAUACGAGCGGCAGACGGGUGAGUAACGCGUGGGAACGUACCCUUUUCUACGGAAUAACCCAGGGAAACUUGGACUAAUACCGUAUACGCCCUUCGGGGGAAAGAUUUAUCGGAGAAGGAUCGGCCCGCGUUGGAUUAGCUAGUUGGUGGGGUAAGGGCCUACCAAGGCGACGAUCCAUAGCUGGUCUGAGAGGAUGAUCAGCCACAUUGGACUGAGACACGGCCCAAACUCCUACGGGAGGCAGCAGUGGGGAAUAUUGGACAAUGGGCGCAAGCCUGAUCCAGCCAUGCCGCGUGAGUGAUGAAGGCCUUAGGGUUGUAAAGCUCUUUCACCGGGGAAGAUAAUGACGGUACCCGGAGAAGAAGCCCCGGCUAACUUCGUGCCAGCCGCCGCCGUAACAC